rnacentral:rRNA from 1 species
CACGUAGGGCGCAAGCGUUGUCCGGAAUUAUUGGGCGUAAAGAGCUCGUAGGUGGUUUGUUACGUCCGCUGUGAAAUCCUAGGGCUUAACCCUGGGCUUGCAGUGGAUACGGGCAGACUAGAGGUAGGUAGGGGAGAAUGGAAUUCCUGGUGUAGCGGUGAAAUGCGUAGAUAUCGGAAGGAACAUCAGUGGCGAAAGCGACUUCCUGGACCAAUACUGACGCUCAUGUGCGAAAGCGUGGGGAGCAAACAGG